rnacentral:rRNA from 1 species
GAUGAACGCUGGCGGCGUGCCUAAUACAUGCAAGUCGAGCGAACGGACGAGAAGCUUGCUUCUCUGAUGUUAGCGGCGGACGGGUGAGUAACACGUGGAUAACCUACCUAUAAGACUGGGAUAACUUCGGGAAACCGGAGCUAAUACCGGAUAAUAUUUUGAACCGCAUGGUUCAAAAGUGAAAGACGGUCUUGCCGUCACUUAUAGAUGGAUCCGCGCUGCAUUAGCUAGUUGGUAAGGUAACGGCUUACCAAGGCAACGAUGCAUAGCCGACCUGAGAGGGUGAUCGGCCACACUGGAACUGAGACACGGUCCAGACUCCUACGGGAGGCAGCAGUAGGGAAUCUUCCGCAAUGGGCGAAAGCCUGACGGAGCAACGCCGCGUGAGUGAUGAAGGUCUUCGGAUCGUAAAACUCUGUUAUUAGGGAAGAACAUAUGUGUAAGUAACUGUGCACAUCUUGACGGUACCUAAUCAGAAAGCCACGGCUAACUACGUGCCAGCAGCCGCGGUAAUACGUAGGUGGCAAGCGUUAUCCGGAAUUAUUGGGCGUAAAGCGCGCGUAGGCGGUUUUUUAAGUCUGAUGUGAAAGCCCACGGCUCAACCGUGGAGGGUCAUUGGAAACUGGAAAACUUGAGUGCAGAAGAGGAAAGUGGAAUUCCAUGUGUAGCGGUGAAAUGCGCAGAGAUAUGGAGGAACACCAGUGGCGAAGGCGACUUUCUGGUCUGUAACUGACGCUGAUGUGCGAAAGCGUGGGGAUCAAACAGGAUUAGAUACCCUGGUAGUCCACGCCGUAAACGAUGAGUGCUAAGUGUUAAGGGGUUUCCGCCCCUUAGUGCUGCAGCUAACGCAUUAAGCACUCCGCCUGGGGAGUACGACCGCAAGGUUGAAACUCAAUGGAAUUGACGGGGACCCGCACAAGCGGUGGAGCAUGUGGUUUAAUUCGAAGCAACGCGAAGAACCUUACCAAAUCUUGACAUCCUUUGACAACUCUAGAGAUAGAGCCUUCCCCUUCGGGGGACAAAGUGACAGGUGGUGCAUGGUUGUCGUCAGCUCGUGUCGUGAGAUGUUGGGUUAAGUCCCGCAACGAGCGCAACCCUUAAGCUUAGUUGCCAUCAUUAAGUUGGGCACUCUAAGUUGACUGCCGGUGACAAACCGGAGGAAGGUGGGGAUGACGUCAAAUCAUCAUGCCCCUUAUGAUUUGGGCUACACACGUGCUACAAUGGACAAUACAAAGGGCAGCGAAACCGCGAGGUCAAGCAAAUCCCAUAAAGUUGUUCUCAGUUCGGAUUGUAGUCUGCAACUCGACUACAUGAAGCUGGAAUCGCUAGUAAUCGUAGAUCAGCAUGCUACGGUGAAUACGUUCCCGGGUCU